GACGAACGCUGGCGGCGUGCUUAACACAUGCAAGUCGAACGGAAAGGCCCUGCUUUUGUGGGGUGCUCGAGUGGCGAGCGGGUGAGUAACACGUGAGUAACCUGCCCUUGACUUUGGGAUAACUUCAGGAAACUGGGGCUAAUACCGGAUAGGAGCUCCUGCUGCAUGGUGGGGGUUGGAAAGUUUCGGCGGUUGGGGAUGGACUCGCGGCUUAUCAGCUUGUUGGUGGGGUAGUGGCUUACCAAGGCUUUGACGGGUAGCCGGCCUGAGAGGGUGACCGGCCACAUUGGGACUGAGAUACGGCCCAGACUCCUACGGGAGGCAGCAGUGGGGAAUAUUGCACAAUGGGCGGAAGCCUGAUGCAGCAACGCCGCGUGCGGGAUGACGGCCUUCGGGUUGUAAACCGCUUUCGCCUGUGACGAAGCGUGAGUGACGGUAAUGGGUAAAGAAGCACCGGCUAACUACGUGCCAGCAGCCGCGGUGAUACGUAGGGUGCGAGCGUUGUCCGGAUUUAUUGGGCGUAAAGGGCUCGUAGGUGGUUGAUCGCGUCGGAAGUGUAAUCUUGGGGCUUAACCCUGAGCGUGCUUUCGAUACGGGUUGACUUGAGGAAGGUAGGGGAGAAUGGAAUUCCUGGUGGAGCGGUGGAAUGCGCAGAUAUCAGGAGGAACACCAGUGGCGAAGGCGGUUCUCUGGGCCUUUCCUGACGCUGAGGAGCGAAAGCGUGGGGAGCGAACAGGCUUAGAUACUCUGGUAGUCCACGCUGUAAACGGUGGGUACUAGGUGUGGGGUCCAUUCCACGGGUUCCGUGCCGUAGCUAACGCUUUAAGUACCCCGCCUGGGGAGUACGGCCGCAAGGCUAAAACUCAAAGGAAUUGACGGGGCCCCGCACAAGCGGCGGAGCAUGCGGAUUAAUUCGAUGCAACGCGUAGAACCUUACCUGGGUUUGACAUGGAUCGGGAGUGCUCAGAGAUGGGUGUGCCUCUUUUGGGGUCGGUUCACAGGUGGUGCAUGGCUGUCGUCAGCUCGUGUCGUGAGAUGUUGGGUUAAGUCCCGCAACGAGCGCAACCCUUGUUCACUGUUGCCAGCACGUUAUGGUGGGGACUCAGUGGAGACCGCCGGGGUCAACUCGGAGGAAGGUGGGGAUGACGUCAAGUCAUCAUGCCCCUUAUGUCCAGGGCUUCACGCAUGCUACAAUGGCUGGUACAGAGAGUGGCGAGCCUGUGAGGGUGAGCGAAUCUCGGAAAGCCGGUCUCAGUUCGGAUUGGGGUCUGCAACUCGACCUCAUGAAGUCGGAGUCGCAAGUAAUCGCAGAUCAGCAACGCUGCGGUGAAUACGUUCCCGGGGCU
rnacentral:rRNA from 1 species